GUCCGUGAAAGUGGACGUCCCUUCGGGGCCUGAUCACAGAUGCUGCAUGGCUGUCGUCAGCUCGUGCCGUGAGGUGUUCGGUUAAGUCCGGCAACGAGCGCAACCCGUAUCGUCAGUUACCAUCGGGUCAUGCCGGGGACUCUGGCGAGACUGCCCGUGUCAAGCGGGAGGAAGGCGCGGAUGACGUCAAGUCAGUAUGGCUCUUACGCCCAGGGCUGCACACGUGCUACAAUGGCCGGUACAGUGGGAAGCGACACCGCGAGGUGGAGCCAAUCCCCAAACCGGCCCCAGUUCAGAUUGCAGUCUGCAACUCGACUGCAUGAAGUCGGAAUCGCUAGUAAAGGCGUAUCAGCAACGACGCCUUGAAUACGUUCCCGGGCCUU
rnacentral:rRNA from 1 species